GGAGGUGGCUUAUCCACAUCACAACCUCAUGAGCUUCAGAAGGUCUGAAGAGCCAUCCGCAGUCCAACAGCUGGAUUGUAGUAGCAGAGCGUACCAGGGCCGUAUCUCACCAAGAAUACAAGGACUGCAACUACUGUCCUGACGCUCUCGCAGAAGAAGAAGAAAGCAC